rnacentral:rRNA from 1 species
UACGUAGGGAGCAAGCGUUGUCCGGAAUCAUUGGGCGUAAAGCGCGCGUAGGUGGCUUCGUAAGUCCGUUGUGAAAGUCAAAGGCUCAACCUUUGAAAGCCGAUGGAUACUGCGGAGCUAGAGUACGGAAGAGGCGAGUGGAAUUCCUGGUGUAGCGGUGGAAUGCGCAGAUAUCAGGAGGAACACCGGUGGCGAAGGCGGUGGUCUGGGCCGGAACUGACGCUGAGGAGCGAAAGCGUGGGGAGCGAACAGG